GACACCUGUGGCUCUUGGCUCUUUGCCUCUCAGAGCUGUUGCACUGUGUUGCUUUAGCAGAGCUCUGCUGUCAGCUAUUUAAUACCCUACUCUGGUUACUGCUGCCUUUGUCCUGCUAUCCUUCAUCCUUAAUUGUCCUCAGUGAGCAGCAGGCAUCAGGAAGGUGGUGAUGAGAAUGUAAUGGAUUGGAAGAGGCAGCAGGACCACUGGCUGUGAGAGACUUGUGUGGCGUUCAGUCUCGCAGAGACAGCUGUUGGUGUUUGGAAGUGCCCUGCAGAGGCACUAGACCUGCUGGGCUGGGGGUGACUGAUUUGCUGUGAAGCCAGGAGACCCAUCCUGCAGCAAAUAGAGCUGCCAGAAAACAAACAUGAACCCUGUUUGGAACAAAGAGGGCUGUGGGCUGCUUGUUUGGAACUUCAUGAUUGGACCUUCAUAAGGUUGCAGCUGGCUGACUCCCUCUGCCUUCCAGAUGAUGUCUCUCACCAUCAAGAAGAGGCUGCCAGCACUCAGGGGAUGAAUCUGCCCCAGGUUGUCCAGUUUCAAGACAAGAACAAGACCUCCAUCACAAGAUCUCAGCAGCUGGCCCGGAUCACAGCUCAAUUCAACCUUGCCCACCUGAGGUGGUGUUUCAGAACUACAGCCUUGGUGAGGUCUGUGAAGUGCCAGUGGUUCUGAGGAACAGGGACAAGGUAAGUGCAGGCACG
rnacentral:lncRNA from 12 species